UUGUAGCCUUCUCCUAGCCCACCCAUACAAUAGUUAGUUAUUCACUAUUAAUACAUGGCCCACUUGUCCCUCUCACAAAGUUUCUUGAUUUCUGUGUCUAAGCUUUCUUGGUUUCUGUGCCUAGGCUGGCUGUAAGCUUACAGCCCGCUUCUCCUCUCUCUCCUCCCUUCUCUCCUCCACUUCAGCAUUUAGCCAGCUUACAGCCCACUAUAAUACUUGCUCUUAGGAGUUGUUCGGUUCUCCGGUAAUGAACCUAGUAACCAUUACAGUACAGCUCAUAAAAGGUUAUAUAAAUUAACCAAUAUCAUUCUGACUGAGAAUCAUUUAUCAUUUGUGUUUCUGAACAACGGGUCCUUAGAGCACUCUCAAUGCUAAGUGUACGUUCCUG
rnacentral:lncRNA from 1 species